rnacentral:lncRNA from 1 species
CUGAUUUUGAAAUGAAUGGUUGAUGAGUUGAUAUUAUAAAUUCCCUUGAGCCAGUGUUUCUAGGACUUACUUUUGCAAACACUGUCGUGGAGAGAGUUGCUUUGUGUCCUGCAGCGCCGCUGCCCUGUUUAUUGGUGUUCGUGGGGAAUGACCGGAACACAGCAGACUCAGCCAUGCAGGGCGUCCCCCCAGCAGUAGCUCUGCAGUGAUCUCAUCAGGCCCUCCCUUAUUGUCUAACAAAAAUGUGCUGUGUGGCCCACUUCACAGCAGAGAAGGGAGCUGCCACACCAUGGCCCCAUGGAAGCCAGGGCCUCCUGGUGACAGCCAGCUGCAGCCCUCCUGGCCACACAACACACAGCCCUGGGACAAUCAGCAGAGACCCCUCCGAGAGCCACUCUACCAGAAAGAACACAGCAGUCAGAGAGUGUGAAGCACAAAUCCCUGGACCCAAGGAGUCCUCUCGUCACCCCGUCACUGCUCCCGGCUCCGUCAGGGUGAAGGAUAAAGAGACUAUUCCACACGACGGCGGCCUCACCACCUCACUGAUGGCCCCGGUACCGCGAUCUGAGUGGCCUGUGACCGCAGGCCCCUCUACUCAGCGUAUCCCUCCGCGGCCACCUGGGCGGUGGGCACCUGGGGCGUGAUCGCUUCGGUUUAUGCUCGGGGGAAAACUCGCCUCCUCCCGUGGUACAAAGGCGGAGGUGAGGGAGAGCAGGUGGGGACAAGAGGCUGAGGGAACUGGAACAGAUGAGAGGGCAGAGGAGAGAAUGCGCCCAGCCCGCAGGUGAAACGCCCUGUCGGCCACCAGGUGGCGGGCCAGCGCUGUCUGACCCGACCACGGCGCUCUGGAGCCGCCCGGGGGGAGCCACGGGCCACCACGAAGCUGAAAGGCAUGAAAGGGCUGAGAGGGACGCCCGACGCACGACAGACACACACACACACACCACAAUGCAUGCACACAAUGAACACCACAAUGCACAUACACACACGCGCCCCAUAACACGCACCGCAAUAGACACUCCACAUACCACAACUCACAUCACAACACCCAACACGUACCACAACACAUACACCACGACACGAUACACAUGCCAUAACACAUACCCAACAUAACACACAACAUAAGCACAACACAUACAACACACACCAUGGACAUACCCAACAUUACAUACAACACAUACACCACAACAUACACACAGAACAACACUCCACCACACACAUUUAUCCAACAACCCACACACACACACAACACGGGCACACACGGCACAACACACCCAUCACAUGCAAGAGGCUAUUCGCAUCUGCACACCACUUUGCGGGGGUGGCUCCUCAGUCCUGGCUCUUCUGUCUUCUCUCCCCUCCACCCCCACAUCUGUGAAUCCCCAACCCCUCCCCACCUC